rnacentral:piRNA from 1 species
GCCACUAUUACUCUGAUACCUAAACCACAGAAA